AGUUCGAGGCUGCAGUAAGCUAUGCUAUGAGCUACAAGCAAGACCCCAUCUUAAAAACCCCCAAAAAACCUUGCUCCUGCCUCAGCCGUCAAUUCCGACACUUGCGUGUUGGUCUCAACUCUCCUAUGACACUCCUGACACAUUCCCAUCCUUAAUGAUGCCCCUGGCCUGGUCAGUCUGGAAGCACCCCUUCUCUGCACAGGACCUUGCUUGCUGCCUAUGCUCACACAUGUCAAAAAGAGAGUCCAGGCCAGGCAUGGUGGCUCACACCUGUAACCCGAACACUUUGGGAGGCUGGGGUGGGCGGAUCACUUGAGGUCAGGAGUUCAAGACCAGCCUGGCCAACAUGGUGAAAGCCCGUCUCUAUUAAAAAUACAAAAAUUAGGCUGGGCACGGUGGCUCAUGCCUGUAAUCCCAGCUACUCGGGAGGCUGAGGCAGGAGAAUGGCGUGAACCUGGGAGGCAGAGGUUGCAGUGAGCCAAGAUUGCACCACUGCACUCCAGCCUGGGUGACAGUGAGACUCCAUCUCAAAAAAAAAAAAAAAAAAAUUAGCUGGGCAUGUUGGUGUGCACCUGUAAUCCCAGCUUCUUGGAAGGCUGAGGCAGAGGUUGCAGUGAGCGAGACCACACCACCUGCACUCCAGCCUGUGCGACAGAGUGAGACUGUGUCUUAAAAAAAAAAAAAAAAAAAAAAAAGAAAAGAAGGUCUAGAUAACUUAGAAGCCCGGUGAGUUCUUUCCCAUGUGCAUAUGGGAAAUAAUGGCCACAGAAGCCUGGUGGCCACUGGAGUGGACUGUGCAGGGACCAAAGGCCCAUGACAGCCUGCUGGGUCUCCAGGAACAGUGGAAAGAAGGAAGCCUAUGGUUGCAGUGAGCCAAGAUAGCACCACUGCACUCUUGUGACAGAGCGAGACUCCAUCUCAAAAAAAAAAAAGGAACUGGGUGAUGAGUACAUGAGGGUUUAUAAUACUGUUCUCACUAAUUUUGUUUAUGGUUGGAUAUUUUCCAUAAUAAAAUUUUUUUCAGGCCGGGGGCAGUGGCUCAUGCCUGUAAUCCCAAAACCUUGGGAGGCCGAGGCAGGCAGAUCACCUGAAGUCGGGAGUUUGAGACCAGCCUGACCAACAUAGAGAAACCCUGUCUCUACUAAAACUACAAAAUUAGUCAGGCAUGGUGGUGCAUACCUGUAAUCCCAGCUACUUGGGAGGCUGAGGUAGAAGAAUCACUUAAACCUGGGAGGUGGAGGUUGUGGUGAGCCGAGAACGUGCCAUUGCACUCCAGCCUGGGCAACAAGAGCGAAACUCCAUCUCAAAAAAAAAAAAUUUUUUUUCAUUGGCUGGGCGUGGUUGCUCAUGCCUAUAAUCCAAGCACUUUGGGAGGCUGAGGCAGGCAGAUCACCUGAGGUCAGAAGUUCAAGACUAGCCUGACCAACAUGGUGAAACCCCAUCUCUACUAAAAAUACAAAAAUUAACUGGGCAUGGUGGUCUGUGCCUGUAGUCCCAGCUGCUCAGGAGGCUGAGGCAGGAGAAUCACUUGAACCCGGGAGGCAGAGGUUGCAGUGAGCUGAGAUUGUGCCAUUGCACUCCAGUCUGGGUGACAGAGCAAGACUCUGUCUCAAAAAA
rnacentral:lncRNA from 1 species